CCAGCCACACCCAAAAAAAUAUCCCACUCAGAGACAGCAUUAUCCGCAAUCAUAUGCCAAACAACUAAGGGAAAGAGAGAGAGCAUUCUGCUUCAAUUAUCUGAACAGAAGCAAAAGCAACUUCCACUAUGAAGUGUAUUCAAUUUCAGUCUUCAUUUCCUUCCUUACAUCCACAAACCAAGCAGAAGCACCAGCAGCAGAAACUGAAGACACAGAAAUGGCUAUGCCCUUAUACCCAAAGAAUACCAGCAAGGACCAGGGCUAUUAUUAACCCUCUCAUUCUUGCUGACACUUCCCCAUCUAAAGGAGGAGACAUAUCUGUCCUCCUUCAAACUGGUGGUUUGCUUCUGUUUGCAUAUGGGAUAACCAACUUUGUGGUGCCGGCCUUCAUUUCCAAACAAUAUGAAUUGGAUGAGGAAACUAAAGAAGAUUCAAUGCCUGAUAAGGAUGGCUCCAUAGAUGGUGAGGAGGAUGGUAUGACCAAGCCACAAUCACUAAGAAAGAAAUGAGGCUUCCAAGGCACUAGGACAUGAUUACAAAUAAGGGAGACGAUGUCAUGAUGGCUAAUAAUGUCUUCUUUAUUAUUAUUAUUGAUCCUCCAGAAAAAUUUCCGAUUAUUUUUUCAUUUACUUAUAACAACUAAAACUGUAAAAGGCAGCAAAUUUCUUUUUUUCUUUUUUGGAACAAAUAAAGGAGAGAGAGAGAGAGA
rnacentral:misc_RNA from 1 species